AGGAGACGAAAUAAAGGUUAGGUCAAGUCACGGGUGUUCUGAAGUUUUUAUCAUUGUACAAUGUAAUAAGAAAGGAAAGCAUCAACAGUGACAAAGCCAGGAUUAAGACUGAUAUUAGGAAAGUUGUGUAUAAGGGUUGGUUUAACAAGAUUGUGUCUGUGGAGGCUAUAAGAAGGGUAAAUAGUUUUGCCAGAGCACCAGUUAAUAGGAUGAUUGUGAUCUCUAACAUGACAGAAAAGAACAUUAUUAGUGUCGGCAAAUCUAACAUUUCUUUUGUACUCUUUCAGAGAGAGAGUGGCCAGUUUCGCCAAAGUACUGGAGAGAACAAAAGGAGCAGGAAAUGGAGUAGACUCCAGAAGCAUCAGUAGCAGGAGAAGAGGAUGGUGGGGAGCGAGAGAAAGAGGGACAGUAAAAAAGGAAGAGAAGGAAGGAACACUGUGGAAGGGGUAGAAAUUAAGACUUCUCACCUCCAGAAUCAACAACUCUCUGUUCUAGCGCACCUUCCUUCCAGGCCAGAGAGGGGAAACAAAGUAAUAAUUGAUUGAAUAACUGUCACGAGGAUCGUGUGGCUUCAGGGAAAAACAUAUAAAUAUUGGAAAAAGUCGUAAGCUUGAAAACCCUCGGAAUAAUAGAGAAAUUUCUGGCACAGACAUCAAGUUACACAGAACAGAGGAAAAGACGUAAAGAGAAAAUAAAAAAAGGAAAAUAAACAGUCUAGGAAUUAAAAACAACACUUUUUAAGAGUAAAAUAUUGGAGAAAAAAAUGAAGAAUGUGGAAAACACCUGCAACUUGCAUCAUUGAUAUCUGUGGAAAAUUUUGAUAAUUUUCCUGUGAGUAAGAAUUGAUGGGGAUAAUAAUGUUUGAAAUUGUGUAGGUGUGUAUCUUUAGUGCGACUUUUUGAAAAGUAUUAAGUCACAUGAGAACCUAUAUUAUCUAUAAUUUCCAUAAAUCCUGUAAGGAGUUAAGUGAGGGAAAAUAGUUGUAAUUUAGAGUAAAUUAAUAUUCUUAUAAGGAAAAUGUGUUGCACACCAGGAAAUAUCUUUAUAAACAGAUGUAUGUGUAAAAGAUUGAACGUUUAGUGACGGGGAAGGAAUCGACAAUGGCGGAACGUAUACAAUAACUGGGAAUUGUAUCAGAAUUUGAACGUGGGUAAUCGAGGCCGAUGGAGGGUGUAUCGGCAAGAAUUGGGGAUCAUGAAAUGAGUGAAUAAUUUAUGUUCUCCUCCCGGUGUGACUUUAAGUCUCGCACAACAGGUAAGGUAGCUAGUUAUUGGCCAAUACUUGUGUACCUACCUAUAGGGAGGCGUUAGGAUAUACCACAAUGUAACUUAAGCACUGCGUUGUAUAGUUAAUACACAAGAAAUGUCUAGAGUUACAGAUAUACAUUCCACAAAUAUAUUAAAUAAGCUAGGUUUUAAAUUCUUUUAUUAAUCAGUAUUCAGGAACUAUAUGUUCACGUAAAUUUUAA